UGUGAUUGGGUUUUAUGUGACUCCAGGAGCUGUGUCGUCAGGGGAAACAGCGCCUGGUAGGGUCGUCCAAGAAAAUUAGUUCCAGGUGAGUGGCCAGAGUAAAUGUGACCUCUAUGGGCCAGUGUCUACCGGCAUAGAAUGGGUUGGAUUCCAGAGAUGAAUGUCUCCUCCACAUGACAGCUGACAGGGAGGGAGAUGGCUCCUGCUCUGCCGUGGCCAAAGCAAACUGCAGCUCGGCUCCCCAGCAACUCCACAGUGGCCCAUAUAUCUGACAUGACUGUGUUUGGCUUACAUCUCCAGGUAAAAGGACUUGUCCCACUGUGGAGAACCAACAGGAGCAGCACUUAUGACCUGUGUGGAGAGCAGCCCUGAAGUAUAUAGUUCAACGCUUCCUUUCUCUGUGAAACACUCCCUGUGGGUAUUGUGGUCCACAACAGAGCGGUGUCAGAGUAUCACCUCGUGGUCCCACAAGCAUGACUGUAGCGCUUAUGGAUUCUAUGUUCUUGCAAUAGGAAGUAAAGGAUUUCUCCUCAUGGCUGUAUCUUAAGUCACACAACAAUAGUCUGCAGUUCUUUUUAUAUUUUCCGGGGAUGCUUAUUUACAUCAUGUAGCCAACAUCUGCUCACUAUCCUGUUGCAGAAUCACACAGUAGGAUCAGGUUUUGUCCGGCGCUGAUGGGCAUGUCUUUAUAUCAAGCUACGAUACCAAAGCUUUGUUUCUGUUGUGUGACACGACCCGCAACCUUAUUCUUAGACCUGCCUGCCACCUAAACUGAGGACACACUUAAUAACAGCUUGGUUGAAGCAGACUGACAUGAGGAACAGUGACAGUCAAGCAGUUUGAUGAUUUUUGGACAUAAAUUUAAUCUUAAAGCAGCACCUGGAGACUCGAAGGGUAACGAGUGUCAUUUUUCCUAAAACUAAAACAGGCUGCAGUCUGAGAGGGAAGUUUGAACUCUCAUGGUAUCGUCUUCUGUUUCAAGCUGAAGUAGAAAGAUGGAUCAGUUUUCCCAGUUGGAGCUGUGCCUGGCAGCCAUGGUGAACUAGUUUGUGUUCCUACAUACUGUACAUUGUUGCUACCUCAUAUUUCUGCCCCAGCCUUACAGAUGAGAGGCAUUACUGGUGUUUCACUUGUUGAUUGUGACGGAUUUCAUCACUGGAGUAGAAGUACAUUGUUAGGAGUUAAAGGAUAACUCCAGUAUUUUUAAACCUGGGCCUAAUUUUCCCAUGUUUUUGUGUGUAAAUGGUCAAUAGGGACAAAGAUCUUUGGAGUCAGAGCAGUACUGAGCAUGAACAGGGUGCCUAGCAACGACCAGCAGCUGCUGGGAAAUUUUCCGCGUCAACGUACGUCCACUUCAGUGCUUGUUUUAGCCACUGACAAGCUUAUUAUUUUUUAUAAACCUCAGCUGCUCUUGUUCACUUCAGGAAGGACUCACAGCCAGCCUACUCAUUACUGAUCCAAGUCGUCAAAAAUUCACAAAUUAUCUCUGCCUGCUUCUUUGUUGCUGCAGAGAUUCUGCAAUGUACAGGUGUUGAGUUGGUAAUAGGUGGGAUCCUUGUUAGUUUUUGUUUUAGUGCUCACAGGAGUGGUUUUAAAACAACUAAGUCAAUUUGUGGCAGGAUGUGAAAAUUGUUUUUCAGAUGUGAAAGAUUGCAACAAAGAAGAGUAGGAGGAAAAAUUGCACUUUUCAGAUGAACAAGACUGAUCUGACCGCACAGAAUCAGACUAUUCUUGGGCACUUUGAUGCUGGCUUGUAUUCAUACAUUUUAAUUCCUUAUGAUUUAUGUACAUUUGAUUAAAUGUUGGCUUUUCCUAUAGCUACACCAGGAUACACUCACUCCAAUCAUUCAUACUAAAUAUUGACUGUGAUCGGGCUGAAUGCUUGAAAUCAAUAAUCUUGUGUUUAUCAUCAGUACUUCAUUUUAAAGAAUCUGUAGAGAUUUUUUUCACUUCCCUUUAAAGAGUCCUUUUUGUUCAUCAUUGUAUAAAACACCUAAUCACAAGGACUGGGAUUCAA